rnacentral:rRNA from 1 species
GACGAACGCUGGCGGCGUGCUUAACACAUGCAAGUCGAACGGAAAGGCCCUGCUUUUGUGGGGUGCUCGAGUGGCGAACGGGUGAGUAACACGUGAGUAACCUGCCCUUGACUUUGGGAUAACUUCAGGAAACUGGGGCUAAUACCGGAUAGGAGCUCCUGCUGCAUGGUGGGGGUUGGAAAGUUUCGGCGGUUGGGGAUGGACUCGCGGCUUAUCAGCUUGUUGGUGGGGUAGUGGCUUACCAAGGCUUUGACGGGUAGCCGGCCUGAGAGGGUGACCGGCAAGAGUGGGACUGAGAUACGGCCCAGACUCCUGCGGGAGGCAGCAGUGGGGAAUAUUGCACAAUGGGCGGAAGCCUGAUGCCGCAACGCGGCGGGCGGGAUGACGGCCUUAGGGUUGUAAACCGCUUUCGCCUGUGACGAAGCGUGAGUGACGGUAAUGUGUAAAGAAGCACCGGCUAACUACGUG